GGGCAUAUGGUGUAGUUGGUUUAUCACGCUCGCUUAGCAAAUCCAUUUGCGAGAGGUGUCCGGUUCAAUUCCGGAUAUGUCCA